CAGAACGAACGCUGGCGGCAUGCCUAACACAUGCAAGUCGAACGAGACCUUCGGGUCUAGUGGCGCACGGGUGCGUAACGCGUGGGAAUCUGCCCUGGGGUGCGGAAUAACUCGGAGAAAUCCGUGCUAAUACCGCAUAAUGUCUUCGGACCAAAGAUUUAUCGCCCUGGGAUGAGCCCGCGUAGGAUUAGCUAGUUGGUGGGGUAAAGGCCUACCAAGGCGACGAUCCUUAGCUGGUCUGAGAGGAUGAUCAGCCACACUGGGACUGAGACACGGCCCAGACUCCUACGGGAGGCAGCAGUGGGGAAUAUUGGACAAUGGGCGAAAGCCUGAUCCAGCAAUGCCGCGUGAGUGAUGAAGGCCCUAGGGUUGUAAAGCUCUUUUACCUGGGAUGAUAAUGACAGUACCGGGAGAAUAAGCUCCGGCUAACUCCGUG
rnacentral:rRNA from 1 species